rnacentral:lncRNA from 1 species
AACGCUGAGAAUUCAAAAACCCUAAUUAUCAUCUUCUUCAAUUCUCUGGCGAUUUCAUACUUCUUCAAUUGUCUCAAACACAAAAACUCUAAUCCAGGUUGAGAGAAAAGAGAUAAUCGGGAGACGAGAUAAAUAAUCAAUUCAUCGAAGCUUCUAUUGUCAUUCUAAUCUGUUAGUUCACUUAUUCUUGAUGCUUGGCAGCAUACCUUGCAGUGGAGGAGGUAAGUACUUUGUGAUUCACGCCUGUCAAAAAAUCGUUACAGUUGAAGGUUCGACCUUCAAUUGUGGUCCAGAAGUGCAUACUAUGGUUUAGACUUGGUUUAUUUUUUUAGCCAACUGAUUAGGUACGUGAAACGAGCCCUACUUUUUAUAAUAAGUUAACAACUCGAGCACGUUAAUGACUGCCGAAUGCGACUGUGGAAGUGCAGUUUGGGAGCAGUUGAUCGUGCGCACAAAAUAUACUUCUAUGUAUCUUGGCUGGCAACCCGCUAUGGCUAUAUAUGCUUCAACUUCUUAACAAAGAUGAACAAGUUUGUCACAAAUCAGGGUGGGUGAGCAUGAAUUCACUGAAAAAGGGUUCAAUGAGAAUGGUGGUUGAUUUCAAACUUGAGCAUAAUGUCACAAAGCUUGUCAUGGGAGCAAGUGUAGAUAGUCAAUAUUCAAGGUCAAAUAAAAAAAUCAACUAAAAGGAAAAACAGGUCAAAUGCGUUGACAUGUAACAUAUUAGCGGAACCACCACUUUUCUUUUCAUUCUAUUGGAUGUUUUGUUUCAGACCUGAUGAAGUAGAAAGGCCUAAAGUCGUUUUGGACAUCUUCAUGGGACCCUCAAAAACCAAUGUCCUCUGGUGGAGAAACCGACCAAGACAAGCUUGAAGCCACAAAGAGGAAUCUUCAAGAACUUCUGUCCACGACAGUUAUCCAUGGAUCAAGAGCGGGUGCUGUUGUCGGUGCUGUUAGAAGGGUUGCUGGAGCUGAUUUUAGGAAUGGUUCUUGAACAAAGCUUGCAUCAUUCAAAAUCCAAAUUCCAGUCGGAUCCUUUGCAUUUUUCACAAUUGCGGUUUUUGCCCUUUUAGUAGUUCAUUCUUUUGGUUCAAAGAAACAUCUCUUAACAAUGUGUUUAUUCUUCCUUCACUAUGGACCUCUCUCCAUUAGAGUAUCAGAUUAAAUUCCAAAUAAUUAUCAAAGCUGAGAGGAGUCAUUCAUUCCUCAUGGUGAUCAAAAGAGAGACAAGGAAUUUUUUUUGUUAGAGGCCUUUGCUUCUCCGAGUGUGUACAAAAAUUGAAGCUCUGCACACCAGCUACAAAGACCCUAAAUAGGGGUAUAUCCGAAUUUGUUGUGAUGUCUAUAGAUGCUUAACCUCUUGAAAUUCUUCUCUAUCUUCCCCUCCUUGCUGAAGAUAAGGUUGUCUUGCAUUUAUACGGUGGAAAUAAAAGCCACAUGAGCCAGUAGGAGAGUUUUUCAGCUUCUUGAUUUUGUUUUUUUAAUGCUAGAAGCAUAAAAGAAAUGUCCUUUGGGGUUAGUUUUGUAAUUUAUGAUUAGUCUUAUACUCAAAAGGAAGAGUAGGCUGUUUAGGCUACUUUUCUUAUAAUAUUUAUUAGAAGGUAACACUUACAAUAAAAAUUAAGGGAAGAAUGAGGGCAUUAUUAUCAUGUAUAUUUUU